GACGUAGGGGGCGAGCGUUGUCCGGAUUCAUUGGGCGUAAAGAGCGCGUAGGCGGCUCGGUCAGUCGGAUGUGAAAACCCGUGGCUCAACCACGGGCCUGCAUCCGAUACUGCCGGGCUAGAGGUAGGUAGGGGAGAUCGGAAUCCUGGAUGUGAGCGGUGGAAAUGACGCAGAUAUCAGGAGGAACACCGGUGGCGAAGGCGGUUCUCUGGCAUGUCCUGACGCUGAGGAGCGAAAGUGUGGGGAGCGAACAGG
rnacentral:rRNA from 1 species